rnacentral:rRNA from 1 species
UUAAAAAGCUCGUAGUUGGAUUUCUGUUGAGGAUGACCGGUCCGCUCUUUGAGCGCGUAUCUGGUUCAGCCUUGGCAUCCUCUUGGGGAACGCUACUGUGCUUGAUUGCAUGGGGCGGUAUUCAAGACUUUUACUUUGAGGAAAUUAGAGUGUUCACUGCAAGCGUUAGCAAUUGAAUACAUUAGCAUGGAAUAAUAAUAUAGGACCUUGGUACUAUUUUGUUGGUUUCUAGAACUAAGGUAAUGAUUAAUAGGGACAAUUGGGGGCAUUCGUAUUAACGCGUCAGAGGUGGAAUUCUUAGAUUGCGUUACGACGAACUACUGCGAAAGCAUUUGCCAAGGAUGUUUUCAUUGAUCAAGAACGAAAGUAUGGGGAUCGAAGACGCUUAGAUACCGUCGUAGUCUAUACCAUAAACUAUGCCAACUAGAGAUUGGAGGUCGUUCUCUUUAUGACUCCUUCAGCACCUUAUGAGAAAUCAAAGUCUUUGGGUUCCGGGGGGAGUAUGGUCGCAAGGCUGAAACUUAAAGGAAUUGACGGAAGGGCACCACCAGGAGUGGAGCCUGCGGCUUAAUUUGACUCAACACGGGAAAACUUACCAGGUCCAGACAUAGUAAGGAUGGACAGAUUGAUAGCUCUU